rnacentral:rRNA from 1 species
UACGUAGGGUGCAAGCGUUAAUCGGAAUUACUGGGCGUAAAGCGUGCGCAGGCGGUUUUGUAAGUCUGUCGUGAAAUCCCCGGGCUCAACCUGGGAAUUGCGAUGGAGACUGCAAGGCUAGAAUCUGGCAGAGGGGGGUAGAAUUCCACGUGUAGCAGUGAAAUGCGUAGAGAUGUGGAGGAACACCGAUGGCGAAGGCAGCCCCCUGGGUCAAGAUUGACGCUCAUGCACGAAAGCGUGGGGAGCAAAAGGG